UAGGGAAUCUUCCACAAUGGACGAAAGUCUGAUGGAGCAACGCCGCGUGAGUGAAGAAGGUCUUCGGAUCGUAAAACUCUGUUGUUAGAGAAGAACAUGCAGGAGAGUAACUGUUCUUGUAUUGACGGUAUCUAACCAGAAAGCCACGGCUAACUACGUGCCAG
rnacentral:rRNA from 1 species